UGCUUGGUCGAGUGAUGG
rnacentral:siRNA from 1 species